GAUGAACGCUGGCGGCGUGCUUAACACAUGCAAGUCGAACGGAAAGGCUCCUGCUUGCAGGGGUACUCGAGUGGCGAACGGGUGAGUAACACGUGGGUGAUCUGCCCUGCACUUCGGGAUAAGCCUGGGAUACUGGGUCUAAUACCGGAUAGGACGAUGGUUUGGAUGCCAUUGUGGAAAGUUUUUCGGUGUGGGAUGAGCUCGCGGCCUAUCAGCUUGUUGGUGGGGUAAUGGCCUACCAAGGCGUCGACGGGUAGCCGGCCUGAGAGGGUGUACGGCCACAUUGGGACUGAGAUACGGCCCAGACUCCUACGGGAGGCAGCAGUGGGGAAUAUUGCACAAUGGGCGCAAGCCUGAUGCAGCGACGCCGCGUGGGGAAUGACGGCCUUCGGGUUGUAAACUCCUUUCGCUAGGGACGAAGCGCAAGUGACGGUACCUGGAGAAGAAGCACCGGCUAACUACGUG
rnacentral:rRNA from 1 species